rnacentral:lncRNA from 1 species
UUUUUAAGUCUCACCUACACUAAUUUUAUCAUCUCUAAUCUAAAAAAAAUUUAAAAAAUAAACAUUUCUCCCUCUCUCCUCACUCCCACAUUCUCUCUCACUCUCUUCCUCUCUUCUCCAAUUUUAAAAACAAAAUUAGAAAAAUUUCACACACUGUGUAUGGACAUAUACUAGAUAGUAAUAAAGAUUUUACUACUGAUUUUGUUUUCCUCACGUUACAUUGGGCCGUUCCGAAAGAUUCCAAACUCCAACGGAUUAGCACAAAAGUAGAGUGAUAUUUUGUAUUGAAAAGGAAUGUAAGAGCGUGAAAAGCCGAAAGGCAAAUGGAAACAUCUGUCGAAGAAAAGUUAGAGCCGAACAAACCCAAUAUAGCAAAUGAGAACACAAAUGGCCAAUCAUCCGACAUUUGGGCUGGCCUAGUUUUGGUCUUUCUUGUGCUGGUGUUAUGUAUGGUGGGAAGCUUUUGCGGCGUGUUUGUUUGACAGUCUCAAGAGGGACUGGUUUAAGUAGGAUUAUUAUCUUACGUUUAGUGCAAGCCAGAAUUGGAGACUAAGUCGGACUCAUCCCGAUUACACACCUCGCUAAAUGUUGAUAUAAAUAACUCUGAGCUGCAAUAUCUAGGAUUACCAACCUUGUUACUUUGUCGUUCUUCUGGUGAGCUGUAGAUAAGAAUGUGGAAUAUAGUUUUUCAUAGUUAUAAAUAAAAGAAAAAAAAUAGUCCUAGUUACUCCAGCACUGCAUUAAACGCUUUAUUAUUCUAGUACUGCUUUAGGUCAUACCAAGCCAAGUUUAGUUCAUAGAGCUAGUCAAUCUAUGGCAGGUCCUUCAAAAUUAAGUUAAUGUAUGAGUGGACUAAAAACAGUGCACAUAGUGAU